rnacentral:tRNA from 1 species
GUUAGCUCAGUUGGUAGAGUGCUCCACCUGUAAUGGAGAGGUCCCGGGUUCGAUACCCGGAC